CACUGAACCAUUGGUGCCUGUACGAUAACCAAAGUUAAGCAACAUUGAGCCUGGUCAGUAUCUAGAUGGGUGACCACUUAGGAAUACCAGGUGCUGUAAG